rnacentral:tRNA from 1 species
GGCGAGAGCCUGAUCCUUCGGCCUGGCACUCAUAAUGCCGGGGUCGAGGGUUCGAGUCCCUCCCUUUCCACCA